AGAGUUUGAUCAUGGCUCAGAGCGAACGCUGGCGGCGUGCUUAACACAUGCAAGUCGAGUGCGCGGUUGUAGCAAUACAACUGGCGCACGGCGCACGGGUGCGUAACACGUGGGUAAUCUGCCCUCUGAUGGGGAAUAACUCGCCGAAAGGCGAGCUAAUACCGCAUAACAUUCCUUGGACUCCGGUUCGAGGAUUCAAAGGCGUAAGUCGUCGGAGGUGGAGCCCGCGCACGAUUAGCUAGUUGGUAGGGUAAAGGCCUACCAAGGCUAUGAUCGUUAGCUGGUCUGAGAGGAUGGCCAGCCACACUGGAACUGAGACACGGUCCAGACUCCUACGGGAGGCAGCAGUGGGGAAUCUUGCACAAUGGGCGAAAGCCUGAUGCAGCGACGCCGCGUGGGGGAUGAAGCUUCUCGGAGUGUAAACCCCUUUCGACCGGGACGAAUACCUCGCAAGAGGGGUGACGGUACCGGUAUAAGAAGCCCCGGCUAACUACGUGCCAGCAGCCGCGGUAAGACGUAGGGGGCCAGCGUUGCUCGGAAUUACUGGGUGUAAAGGGUUCGUAGGCGGUGUGGCAAGUCGGGAGUGAAAUCUCUGGGCUCAACUCAGGGGCUGCUUCCGAAACUGCCGUGCUAGAGUGUGGGAGAGGCGCGUGGAAUUGCAGGUGUAGCGGUGAAAUGCGUAGAUAUCUGCAGGAACACCCGUGGCGAAAGCGGCGCGCUGGACCACUACUGACGCUGAGGAACGAAAGCUAGGGGAGCAAACAGGAUUAGAUACCCUAGUAGUCC
rnacentral:rRNA from 1 species